AUGCGUCCAUAUGAAUUGUUUCCUACUACCUUGCAUUGCAUGAUGUUAUCUGUUAAAGUAGAUUUGAAGAAGUGUUUGCUUGGAUAUGAUGAUACAUAUACUGUUGGUGGCAUUGCUCAUAUUAAUGAUGAUCACACUUAUUUUCCUCAUGCCAAACCUAUGCUUAAUGAUAAAUAUCAUCCUCAUGUUAGUAUUGAGCUUGCUGAUUCCUAUCAUACUCGCCAUGUUCUUUAUAGCUAUGCAUAUGUAAUUGGGUACUCUAUUGAUGAUUUAGAGGGCAUUACCCCUUUCACUUGUAUCUCUUUUGUCGAGUGCUCUUUCAGGUUUUCGCUACUGCACCGUUCACUACAUGCUGACCAGGUUCGAGGUGACAUUCCUUGGGACCGCGGUGGAUUUAGAGCAUGGUGA
rnacentral:rRNA from 1 species